GAAGCCUUAGUCCAGGGCCAGCAGCUGUUUCUGUGCAGGGAGAAGCUCCAGAGGACAUCUCACAACCAGGAGAUGCAUAGUCGCUGUGAGAUCCUGACAAUACAGCUAGAAGAAAGUGUUCAGUUAUGCCGUGAAAAGGAGAACCAUGCCAGGCAUAUGGAGGAGGAGCAGGGGAGGAUGGAGGAGCAGGCUGCCCAGACUGAGGCCAGACUCCAGGCCACAGUGGCCUCCCUCAGACUGGAGCUAGACACACUGAGAUGGCUGCAACAGAAUGAGCUGUCAGCUCUACAGGAGAGCCAGGCGGAGGUGCUGAAGGCGUCAGAGUGUGUUGUCUCCACCCUACGCUGCUCCCAGGUUCAGCUGACCUCUGAACUACAGCAUUACAGACUGCAGCUGGAGGAGGCCCAGCACAACACCACCGCCCUGCUGGCAGAACUCAACACCAGAGAACAGCUGCUGCAGAGCACCAGCGAGACCCUGCUUAUCAAGGUAGAGCUGUGAAGGAAUAUCCUCUUGUAUGACUCCAAAUAAACAUCAGCUAAUGUUUAUUUGAUCAUUAAUUAUCUUGGAGUUACCAUACCCAUUGAUUGUGGUCAAGUCAUUAUUAUAAUUCUCUUUGUUUUGGGUGGGGGGGAUCAGGAAUCCGAAAUGACACGUCUAAGGACCAAGAUCUCCAGCUUUGAGAGAAGCAAGGAGCUCCAUAAAAUAGCUGUUUGCUCUUGUCUGACCUCUAUCAGGUCACAACCCUACAGCCCCCUCCCUACUCCCACCACAAAGUAAGAGAGAAGACCGAUAAAGAAUACCUUUGUCGACAAAUAUAAAUUUUAUUUUGAAUAUGAGAUAAAGUCCUCUCGGACAAAUGAAAUGCUUUUGUUUUUAUUGUAUUGUAGACGAGUCUAGUAGCAUGCACAAAUGCUUGGUGGAGUGUAAUGUGCUGAUUCAGAAUGCACUUUUGAUUGCGCAUAUGACUAUUUGUAUUUUGUUGUUUACUAUUACAGUAACAUUCAGCAGGUCUAAACACCAAUUAUAAUUAUUGACAACAUAUGCUAAACCACUGUGAAACGUGGCAGUGUUACAGCAGUGUUACGCCCUUAUUUGUCUGUUCCAAGUGAUCUGUGCCAUUAGUAUUGCUGCACGGAGAAGAGCUGCUCUCUGCAGGAAAUUAAACGGACCAGCAUCUGCAGGCGAUUUGAUCCUAAUGCUACAUCCAAAUCGCUUCCCUUGCUCAUCCUAGGAGUGGCUAUGUAGGGUUCCUUAUGAUCCUAGGAGAUAUGGAGCAAAGCAAUCUGUCUGUGUCACAAAUGGCACCCUAUCCCCUACAUAGUGCACUACUUUUGACCAGAGCCCUAUGGGACCUGGUCAAAAGUAAUGCACUAAAUAGGGAAUAGGGUUCCAUUUGAGAAGCAUUUGUUGUCUCUGCCAGGUUUACGUUAAAGGUGAGCCAUUUAAAAAUCAUGUUAUUGCACAGAGUGAGUCCAUGCAACUUAUUAUGUGAUUUCCAAAAAACUAAAUCCACUUUGACAUUAUGGGUUAUUGUGUGUAGAUCAGUCACACACAUGUUCAAUUUAAUACAUUUUAAAUUCAGGCUGUAACACAACAAAUUGUGGAAAAAGUCCAGGGGUGUGAAUACUUUCUGAAGGCACUGUGUAUCCUCAAUCUCUCCAAUUUGAUUGUCUUUUAGGACAAGAGCAGACUAAGAUA
rnacentral:lncRNA from 1 species